GGUCCUCAUUUUAGUCACAUGGACUCCAGACGUUUAAUCUGAUGAUAGGUUCAUUUAUUCGAGCUAAGGCCUCAUCCUCAUCUGUAAUAGAUGAUGAGUCAAUUAUUGAAGCUUUUGUAAGUCAUUCACACGGGCUUUUGGAACACUGAGAGUUUAGUAUGCCGGUCAUGCUUUCAAGCUUAACCCUGACACAUUUCUCUUAAUGGUUACUAAGAGUGGACAUGUGGGCUCAAAGCUUUUACAAAGCUUUCUGCAUCUGCCUUAUCUGGAGAGUAAACAAUUUGUCACCAGCGAGAGUGUUACACAUCAUUUGUUCUAUUCACCUCCAACUAUGAAGGAACAUCCAGUCCAAGGGUGGUGAGAAUGAUGUGAGUGCACAACGGUAAUCUUCUGUGGACGUCUUCUCAGCACACGGCCACAAAACAAAGUGCAUACACAGCUUGGCUAGUUCUUCCUGUCUUUCUGUCUGUUUCUGUUUGACGUGUGUGGACAAAGACUGAGCGAAUGGAAAUGUUGAAAUGUCAUUCAGGCUUCUUAUGUGUCAUGAUUUGGUUUGAGACCAACAGGUGGCGCUGUAGGGCUUACCCUGCAGCUGCACACCUGUUGGUCGUUAUGCCAUUACGUAAUUAGUGCUUUAAAAGGACUCCCAGCCCGACCACACAUUGUCGGGUCAUUGCUGCUGUUGGCUGCUGUCAUGUUUGUUUAUUGGUGUGUUCGCUGCUGUCAUGUUUGUUCAGGUCUUGUUUCGGUUAUUUGGUACUUUUUUGCUUCAGUCAUGGUUAUGUUUGAUACCUUGGUGUCAUUUUGUUUUCAGGACUUUGUUUGGGAUUUAGUUUCCGCUGUUUUUAUUCGAUCUGUCAAGUUCAACCUGCUCCUCCCUCUUGCCUGCCUUUUGGGGUCCACUACCACCACGCAACGUGACAAUAUGGAACUGUCAUAGGAGGGGAAACUUGACCUCGUUCCAGCCUCGACUUCCAAGACAGAUGAGAGCUAUUAGUUCUUUAGUCAUUACAAAGAAUUGAUUAAAGGGACUGACUGUG